rnacentral:rRNA from 1 species
CAGUCGCCGCGGGAAGACGAACCGUCCGAACGUUAUUCGGAAUUACUGGGCUUAAAGCGCGUGUAGGCGGCUCGGCACGUCUGGUGUUGAAAUCCCCCGGCUUAACCGGGGAAGUGGCACAGAUACGGCCGAGCUCGAGGGAGGUAGGGGGGUCUGGAACUUCCGGUGGAGCGGUGAAAUGCGUUGAGAUCGGAAGGAACGCCCGUGGCGAAAGCGAGGCCCUGGACCUUUUCUGACGCUGAGACGCGAAAGCCAGGGGAGCGAACGGGAUUAGAUACCCCCGUAGUCCCUGUCUCUUAUA